CCAAUAGCGUAUAUUAAAGUUGUUGCAGUUAAAAAGCUCGUAGUUGAACUUCGGAAUUUAUUCAUUGGUCAGGCUUAACUGUCUGUACUGGUGUGAUGAAUUCCUACCUUCUGAGGAAUCUUCAUGCCAUUCACUUGGUGUGGUGGGGAAUCAGGACUGUUACUUUGAAAAAAUUAGAGUGUUUAAAGCAGGCUAACGUCUGAAUACAUUAGCAUGGAAUAAUAAAAUAGGACGGCUUGGUUCUAUUUUGUUGGUUUCUAGGAUCACCGUAAUGAUUAAUAGGGAUAGUUGGGGGCAUUAGUAUUCAAUUGUCAGAGGUGAAAUUCUUGGAUUUAUUGAAGACUAACUACUGCGAAAGCAUUUGCCAAGGAUGUUUUCAUUAAUCAAGAACGAAAGUUAGGGGAUCGAAGACGAUCAGAUACCGUCGUAGUCUUAACCAUAAACUAUGCCGACUAGGGAUCGGACGAAGUUAAUUUUUAAAUGACUCGUUCGGCACCUUACG
rnacentral:rRNA from 1 species